GAGCACUUAGGUAGUAUAACAUUUUCAGAAAUAUUGAAAUUGAAAUUAAUUAGAAAUGAAUUCACCUGCUCUUGUAGUUUUUUGGCACAACUUCUUGUAAAUGACCCUUGCAUUGUAUCUUUUAAGUUGGAUGAUAGAUGAUAUAUAUGAGAAAGAUCAUGUAUGGUUGGGAUGUCCUUAUCAUGUGUUAAUGCUUCAAAUAAGUCAACACCAAUACUCCAUUUUCAUAAAGAGCUGUAGCGGCAAGCAUUGUGUCAGAACAGCACGUGAGGAAAACAAUUAAUUACCUUAAAAAAAAAGAGAAAAACAACUCAUCUAGCUAGUAGCAUGUCACAUCUUCUAAAAGUCACCAACAAGGAUCAUGUUUUUUCUCUUAGGAUAGGUAUCGAUGCAAGAACUUUCUUCGAUGCUAGAAGAUUUUUGGAUGCUUCAUUUCCAUCUUUUGCAGUGUGUGGACAUCGAGGCUCAAACAAAAAAAGAGGUUUGAAGCAUCGGUAAAAUAUGACACUGUGGGU
rnacentral:lncRNA from 1 species